rfam:Gossypium arboreum cultivar AKA8401 contig_799_7, whole genome shotgun sequence.
AAUCCAUGGUGAGGGCACCUUCUCAAUAGAUCCUUGUAUCUCUCCCAUGCAUCAUAAAGUGUUUCUAAAUCCAUUUGCA